GAAAAAAAAAACGAGACUUGGAAAUCUCUUCCACCCCACCUCCUCCCUGAAGUCACUCUGGCCAUGGGAGUGGAUGGAUGAAGGUCAGAGCAGAACUCCCUCAUCAUGGAAGAGGAAGCACGAGAUCUUUGAAAAGCUACACAUCAUUUGGAGACUCUUGCGUCCUUCAGCUCCUGCAGAAUGAAACAUCACAUGACAAACCAAAUCUUCUUUUAAAAUAUUAACUACUGGUCGGGUGUGGUGGCUCACGCCUGUAAUCCCAGCACUUUGGGAGGCUGAGGCGGGCAGAUCACCUGAG
rnacentral:lncRNA from 1 species